rnacentral:lncRNA from 1 species
UGAGACUGACCUUGAAUAUGUGAUCCUCCUGUCUCAACCUCCCAAGUUGCUGGGGUUAUAGGUACAUGGCACUGUUCUAGUCUUUCUUUGUCUUCUUAAAGUUCUGAGCCAUAACAUACAUCUACAGCGGAUUAAAAUUUCCAGUCACACAGUUUUUCGAGUUUGAAGGUCCUGAUUUUCUGAACCCUUUUCGAAGAAAGGUAAUCUGACUUACUCAUCCUCCAUUUACUUGAGUAAUGGGAAUUAUUGUUGUGACAGGUGAUCUAAAUCUGUCGUGCUUCACAACAGGCUCUCCAGGCAACCUUCAUUCAGCCCUUCUGGCAUUGGCCACAAGGUUUCUAUGGCGACAACAUUGCUAACACUGGGUUGAGGAUUGCUGUUCACCAGUUACUGGAUCUGGAGCCUGGGACAAGAUGUCAGAUCCAAACAAAGCUGCCAUUGAAGCAGAAAAGGAGGCUUUGAACUUGAAAUUACCCCCUAUUGUCCAUCCCCCAGAAGACAUAGGGGUUGAUACACCACAACAAAGUAAGCUGCUAAACUACAAAAGAUCCAAGGAGCAGCAGAAGACCAUCAAUCAGUUAGUAAUUGAUGGAGCCAAAAAAAAUCUAGACAGAACAUUGGAUAAACGAAUACCUCCAUUACCAGAAGUUGAUUAUCCUCCAACUAUGACCAGUGAAAUUAAAAGAAAAGGAGUGAGUUCUAUUGUUUAUUUCUUGUUUUGAAAAUGUUCAAAUAAAUUAAUUCAAAGUCAUUUUUCUAAGACCCCUUGUUAU